UUGAUUCAUUUGCUUGUUUUCACUCAGAGCAAUGCAUCCUGCAAAUACAAGAGUUUGGGUCCUCCGGCGGGCGCCUGGUUCCGGGACGCCGAGGCGCCGGGGCGGUCCCGCCGAAGCAACGUUGGGUAUGUUCACAGGGGUUUGGGAGUUGAUAACUCGGUAAUGAUCCCUCCGCUGGUUCACCAACGGAGA
rnacentral:misc_RNA from 1 species